rnacentral:sRNA from 1 species
AAUCCGCUUGAGUUCUUUAGCUACUGGGAUC